GCUCUCACGUGGCCCUUGGGCGCCAGGGGCAUUCGGAGCCUGGCGUAAAGCUCCGACGGCGAACGGGGCGGAGGCCCCGCUGUGGACACGGAGGAAAACCCAUUGACGUCCUCGAGCUAUUUUUACCUCAGCCGCUUUGUUUUCAAACACAGCCAGAAAGGGUGGCUUGAAUAGCAUGCAGGCAGCUGGCGUGUCAGCGUGUUUGGAGAUUACACACGUGCGGAGAUAAAAUAAUAUUUCAAACGAACAUGCCACCGCACUCCCGGUGACUCUGGGUGGGAUCUGCCCUUAGGAGAAGUUCAAGGAAAAAAGAGAAGAACUUGGACUUGCUCUGCAAAAAUUUGGACCCAAAGUUUGGGGUCCUGCAUUGAUCCUGGGUAGCACACUCAUCCCUGGUCCCCCCAGAGGAGGAAUUGUUCCGUGACACUUGUGAAUGAGUCCAUCUACCAAACAUUCUUGUUUAGUGUCAUCAUGUCAUUCGCACCUUGGGCCAGACCAGAGUUUGCAUAAUCAGUGCUGAACAAACCGCCAUUGGUGCUGCCCUUCCCAAAGAGCUGAUUUUUGCAGCAAAUAUGUACAAAUGAACUUCAAACCAAGAGAGAGAGAGAGAGAGAGACUAGUUUAAAAAGCAAAGUGUCUUUGUAUCCCAAAGUUGAAGAAGCUGCAUGAUGGCCAAACAUCUCAUCUGAAUCCAGCCCACCAGUCUAAGAGUUUUUAACGUGCUCCUAAAUACCUGCUCUCCUGGGAUGUUUGGUUCAAGAAAUCACAUGUUUUGGAGCAAUUAUAAAUAUUUAGAAUAAUCACCUAGACUUGUAUGCCCAUCAAGAUACAUGGAAAUCCUAAUCAUGCUGUUUCUCAAAAAUGAAACCUUUCUGUUGAAAAAAUUUGAACUUUCUGCUCUGAAAAUCACAAGGAAAUGGAACAAAUACAAUCCCAUUUUUAAGGGAUGAUUCUACUAUGGACAAGAUGGACCUUCUAUUUCUAAAGGCUGAAUUUUUGCAGAUUUUCUUUCCCUGUCCUUGCUGAUGACACUCGAGAACGUUCUGUUUGUCUUCCUUUCUCUGCUGCGCCUGAAUGAAACUCAGGAAAAAAUGAUGUGGCAAUUGCUCAAACGGAGAUGAGUGGAUAUAUGUUUUUAUGCCUGCUGAUCUGAUGCUUGGAAGACUCUUUUUCCCGGGACUUCCUGAGCUCUUUUCCAGAGGUAAUAGCAAUAGCACUUAGACUUAUAUACCGCUUCACAGUGCUUUACUGCCCUCCCUAAGUGAUUUACAGAGUGAACAUCUUGCUCAUAAAUAGAAUUACCUGUUUGAAAGAAAUAUAAAGUGCAUCACUUGAUGCCUUUUGGCAAAGCUGAUCUAUUAUUGCUCCAUUAAAUUAUGGACUGGUUGGCUCUGGAACCAAAUGUUGCAGUUUAUACCCUUCCCCCAGAGACAGAUGGAAAUUGGUGUAAUGUGUGAACACAGCCACUGUAGUUUAUAAACCGUGAUUUAUGCUUUACCACAUUGAGUGGUUUAUUUAGCAAGGUAUGGAAGAACUUCAGUCUUGCAUGAAGGAUAAAGUAUUUCAAAUCAGACUACUAUUUAUUUGUUACAUUCAUCAUGUUUCUCCUAAACAAUUACUUUUGUCUGUAUAAAUGUUCUGGAUAGAAAUAUUGAGUAUGAAAACUUCAAAAGGUUUUUUGUGUGUGUUUACUCUUUUUCUUUGUUUCCGUUUGGCUCUCAGCUCAUAUUUCUUUCUGUCCUAGUUUUUGCUCUUGUUUUGUUUCUCUAAUGGAAAAACAAAUGCACACACAAUAGACUGCAGGGACCUCCGAAUCCAUCCCCUAAGUUGGAAGGACCGUCUGGGCUUUGGGUACAAUUCCCUGUCCAGGGGAGAAGGUCCCAGGGGGUGGCCACAGAAUGCCAGCCAUGUUCCGGCUGCAGCUUCUAGCAGCAACCAAGUCCACAACCACCUCCUGGGAUCCAGGGGGAAUCCCAUGACAGUUGCAAGAGCUUCCCCAAAAAUAAUGGUAGUGCUGCCUCCAGAGGAACAGAAGCUUUUAAUCCUCUUCUCUUCUGCUCCCUACCUUUGUUUCCUAUCCUGUGACCUUCCCUCUUCCGCUGUUCUGUUCCUCUCCCAAAGGCCCACUUGCAGGCUCACAGAGGCCUGCCCAAAGCCACCUUAUGAAAGGGCAGCUCCUUUAUCCAAUCUCUGCCUUCCAUCUCCAUUCAUUUUCAGCAGCCUUUCACAGGGCCAGAGGAUCCCAGUCCUGCUAAUGGAGAUGCAAAAGGUCACUCCUGGCUGGCCGUGGAACAGCGGCUCCAUCUGUUCACCGUUCAGUGGCAGGAAUCACUUUGGCUUUCAAAGACGGGAAACAUCUGUUUAAACAUGCAUGUUUUGAAGGGCCGCCCUAUAUGGUAAACAUCACUUAGGGGAAAAACACUCACAGGGCAGGGUUGGGGGUAAGAAGCAGCAGCUCUCCAGCUUUUCCCUCCGAAUCACGGAUGAGAGCUGCACAGCCAAACACCCGGAUGGUCCAUUUGAAGCUGAUUAAACCCAGGAAAAAUGGCCUCUGAUUGCCUCUUCCCACCUGUAAAAUGGCUAAGGGGCUUUUUAUUUCAGGCUAAUGCAGCUAUCUUUACAACACCAAGACAAAUAAAUUGUGGGAAAUGAGCUUCCCUGCCAGAAACAAGCUUGUCAACAAAUCUUUCAAUUAAAUGGCUAAUUAAAACAGGGUUAAGUAUCACUAAAUGAUUAUCAUUUGGUGUCAGUGUUGAACGAUAGAUUAGGCCUGGUUCACAUAAUGUACUCAUUAUAAGGUGAUUUUUUUUUUCUGAAAUGAACUUUGACACAGUGGUUUAUAAACUAUAAAGAUAUAGUUUGUGUCUUUAUUUUCUUUACUAUAUUUUUAUAUCAACUUUCAAUGUUAACAACUUUUCAAAAUGGUAUACAUUAAAUGCAAUUCAAGCAAAAAAAAUCUGUUCUAUGCAAA